rnacentral:tRNA from 1 species
GGUUGUGGCUCAGCGGUAGAGUGCUUGCCUCACGCAUGUGCAGGACCCUGGGUUCGAUCCUUAGCACCA